rnacentral:lncRNA from 1 species
AUUAGAUAAGUUAUACUAAACAGACACUUAAUUUUUUUCAACUCCAUGAAAAUAAGAACCCAAAAUACUAGUAAAAUUUUUAACACUGCACGUCCUUUUGAUAUUUUAGUUUUUAGGCCACUGAUUGUCUGCUCAUAUUUCACAAAAUGAACGUUACGGUGUAUUCUCCAAACUUCUUUGAUCAGAUUUUUUUUUUUUUUUUGUCAUUAGAAAUAGGUAGGGUGAUUAAUGUUAAAAAUUGUAUGUUUAUUAAGUGGUAAAAAUGUUAUUUUAUGUUUUUAUUACAAUUUAUAUUUGUAUUUAUUUAAUUAUUAUGAAUUAUUAAUAAUAUUUUUAAAUACUUAAUUUUUUGUAUUUUUGAGUAUUUAUAAGGUAAAAUAAUAAUUUCAUGCAAUUUGACACUCCAAACAGAUAAACAGGAAGUCGUCGAGGUGGAUUUACGUCUUUUGUUGCAAAAGUAAAACUUAUUUAACAAGUUAGGUGUGAGAAUUACUAGUGGAAUAAGUUAAAUAUGCUUAAGUGAAUUGAGUUAGGUUUAUUUUUGGUUAGUGGAACAAAUCUAUGGUUAUGAAAUAAUUGGCUUUGUUUAUGUGUUGUGUGAAUUGAUUAUGAUUCACGAGCUAGUAUAAAUGUAUGUAGUUGCUAUCUCUUUCUCUACACCUUUCUUUCACUUCUUUCUCUCCAAAUUCUUCUCCUCAUCUCUUCUAAAUACUCUUCUUUAAUAUUUUUAAAAUUAUUUUCAUAAUAAUUUU